rnacentral:rRNA from 1 species
UACGUAGGGGGCUAGCGUUGUCCGGAUUUAUUGGGCGUAAAGAGCGUGUAGGCGGCCUGGUAGGUCUGCUGUGAAAACUCGAGGCUCAACCUCGAGAUGUCGGCGGAAACCAUCUGGCUAGAGUCCGGAAGAGGAGAGUGGAAUUCCUGGUGUAGCGGUGAAAUGCGCAGAUAUCAGGAAGAACACCGGUGGCGAAGGCGGUUCUCUGGGCCUUACCUGACGCUGAGGAGCGAAAGCGUGGGGAGCGAACAGG